CCUCCUGAGUACGCUGAAGGCAUCAUACUCACCUAGCCAUGCCUGGAGGAGUUCUGGAUGUCUCAGUGGAAAUCUGCGGGAGACAACGAGGUCGGACUGUCAAAACACCGAAACAAUGCUGUCUUUCAAUAAAGCAAAUACAUAUUUGUGCAUUUCUAA